rnacentral:rRNA from 1 species
AGUGAACGCUGGCGGUAGGCCUAACACAUGCAAGUCGAACGGCAGCACAGUAAGAGCUUGCUCUUACGGGUGGCGAGUGGCGGACGGGUGAGGAAUACAUCGGAAUCUACUUUUUCGUGGGGGAUAACGUAGGGAAACUUACGCUAAUACCGCAUACGACCUACGGGUGAAAGCAGGGGAUCAUCGGACCUUGCGCGAUUGAAUGAGCCGAUGUCGGAUUAGCUAGUUGGCGGGGUAAAGGCCCACCAAGGCGACGAUCCGUAGCUGGUCUGAGAGGAUGAUCAGCCACACUGGAACUGAGACACGGUCCAGACUCCUACGGGAGGCAGCAGUGGGGAAUAUUGGACAAUGGGCGCAAGCCUGAUCCAGCCAUACCGUGUGGGUGAAGAAGGCCUUCGGGUUGUAAAGCCCUUUUGUUGGGAAAGAAAAGCAGCAGGUUAAUACCCCGCUGUUCUGACGGUACCCAAAGAAUAAGCACCGGCUAACUUCGUG